rnacentral:rRNA from 1 species
CAUGCAAGUCGAGCGGCAGCACGGGUACUUGUACCUGGUGGCGAGCGGCGGACGGGUGAGUAAUGCCUAGGAAUCUGCCUGGUAGUGGGGGAUAACGCUCGGAAACGGACGCUAAUACCGCAUACGUCCUACGGGAGAAAGCAGGGGACCUUCGGGCCUUGCGCUAUCAGAUGAGCCUAGGUCGGAUUAGCUAGUUGGUGAGGUAAUGGCUCACCAAGGCGACGAUCCGUAACUGGUCUGAGAGGAUGAUCAGUCACACUGGAACUGAGACACGGUCCAGACUCCUACGGGAGGCAGCAGUGGGGAAUAUUGGACAAUGGGCGAAAGCCUGAUCCAGCCAUGCCGCGUGUGUGAAGAAGGUCUUCGGAUUGUAAAGCACUUUAAGUUGGGAGGAAGGGCAUUAACCUAAUACGUUAGUGUUUUGACGUUACCGACAGAAUAAGCACCGGCUAACUCUGUGCCAGCAGCCGCGGUAAUACAGAGGGUGCAAGCGUUAAUCGGAAUUACUGGGCGUAAAGCGCGCGUAGGUGGUUCGUUAAGUUGGAUGUGAAAUCCCCGGGCUCAACCUGGGAACUGCAUUCAAAACUGUCGAGCUAGAGUAUGGUAGAGGGUGGUGGAAUUUCCUGUGUAGCGGUGAAAUGCGUAGAUAUAGGAAGGAACACCAGUGGCGAAGGCGACCACCUGGACUGAUACUGACACUGAGGUGCGAAAGCGUGGGGAGCAAACAGGAUUAGAUACCCUGGUAGUCCACGCCGUAAACGAUGUCAACUAGCCGUUGGGAGCCUUGAGCUCUUAGUGGCGCAGCUAACGCAUUAAGUUGACCGCCUGGGGAGUACGGCCGCAAGGUUAGAAACUCAAAUGAAUUGACGGGGGCCCGCACAAGCGGUGGAGCAUGUGGUUUAAUUAGAAGCAACGCGAAGAACCUUACCAGUGCCUAGUCAUGACAAUGAACUUUCCAGAGAUGGAUUGGUGCGUUCGGGAACAUUGAGACAGGUGCUGCAUGGCUGUCGUCAGCUUGCGUCGUGAGUUGUGGGGUUAAGUCCGGUAACGAGCGCAACCUUAUUCUUUAGUUACCAGCACGUUUUGUUGGGCAGUUGAAGGAGACUGCCGCCGACAAACUGGUGGAAGGUGGGGAUGUCGUCAAGUCAUCAUGGCCCUUAUGGCCUGGGCUACACACGUGGUACAAUGGUGGGUACAGAGGGUUGUCAAGCCGUGAGGUGGAGCUAAUCCCACAAAACCGAUGGUAGUCUGGAUCGCAGUCUGCAACUCGACUGCGUGAAGUCGGAAUCGCUAGUAAUCGCGAAUCAGAAGUACGCGGUA